GAACGCUGGCGGCAUGCUUUACACAUGCAAGUCGAACGGUAACAGGUCUUCGGAUGCUGACGAGUGGCGAACGGGUGAGUAAUGCAUCGGAACGUGCCCAGUCGUGGGGGAUAACGCAGCGAAAGCUGUGCUAAUACCGCAUACGAUCUAUGGAUGAAAGCGGGGGACCUUAGGGCCUCGCGCGAUUGGAGCGGCCGAUGUCAGAUUAGCUAGUUGGUGGGGUAAAGGCCUACCAAGGCGACGAUCUGUAGCGGGUCUGAGAGGAUGAUCCGCCACACUGGGACUGAGACACGGCCCAGACUCCUACGGGAGGCAGCAGUGGGGAAUUUUGGACAAUGGGCGCAAGCCUGAUCCAGCAAUGCCGCGUGCAGGAAGAAGGCCUUCGGGUUGUAAACUGCUUUUGUACGGAGCGAAAAGGCCCUCUCUAAUACAGGGGGUUCAUGACGGUACCGUAAGAAUAAGCACCGGCUAACUACGUG
rnacentral:rRNA from 1 species